GGGCCGCUAGCUCAGUCGGCAGAGCACCGGACUUUUAAUCCGGUGGUCGGGGGUUCGAUUCCCCUGCGGCCCA
rnacentral:tRNA from 1 species